CAUUUACCCUGUUUAGCCCCAAGAGUUUUUUUUUUUUCUUCUAUUUUUUUAAAAAUCCAGGUUCAGGUCCUGUAUGAUGACUUUCUGUUAUGUCUCCCUCUUUUCUAUGCUGCAUCAUUUUCUUGUGACUAGAGUCUAGUCCAUAUUAUGAUACUCUUUUAUUUGCAUUGGGCAGAACUGACUUCAAGUAGGGUGGCCAAAACUAGACACUUUUAUAAUGAGUUGGAUAAACUAAAACAUGUUCAAAGAAGGGCCCAGAAGAUGAUCAGAGACCUGCAAACUAUGUCUUAUGAAGAAAGUAUGAAGACAUUAAGGCAGUACUGUUUCGCCUUGAGAAGACUGAAAGGAGGGUCAUCAAGUACUUAUAAAGUAUCUGAAAGUUUGUUACAUAGAAGGUCAACAUUUCUUGGAAUAAUUGGUUUAAAUUACAGAAAGGUCAGGCAAAGCAUACGGUCUCCGAACAACCUCCCAGCUGCUCAACCUACCUCUAAAUAUGCCUUUUAAAGUUCUAGCCUUACUAUUUGACUGCUGUGGGUGGAAGAAAUCAGAUGCAGCCCUUCUUUCUUAAAUGAAUGAGCCAAACAUAAAAUUCUCUCCAGCUGAACAAAUGCCUGAGCUUUGUGUAAUAUUGCACUAUUGAUCUUAGUUGUGUACUUUUAAUUGCUUUUCCAGAAAACCAACUGUUCCAUCUUUCAAUCUGAACCCAAUUUAAAAGAUACUUAGAGGUGAUCUGGAUUUGUUGUUUUAAUUUGUGGCCACUGAAUAUGCUAUGCAAUUUCUUUGUUAUUAGUAAUAUGAUAUAAUAAUGGUAUUAUCGUUCAUUGCCUGCAUUUGUUUAACAUGAGAAACAAUAUCAUUUUAACAAUAAAAACUAAAUCAGUUUAACAACUUCA